CUUCGACCGUUUUACGCAAGCCCCACCCACCCCGGGCCAUCCAGCCCGGCACAGCCUGUCCGUAGCUCCGGUGUGUUGGCCAGCGUCCACUUGGCUGCUGGAGUCGCCUGCGGGUGGGGCUGGACCGAUUUCUCCACGACAGACAUAACGUAUUCAUCUGGAGGCUGGGGAGAUGGCUCUCCAGUUAAGAGCGCUGGCUUGCUCUUCCACAGAUCCUGAGUUCAGUUCCUAGCAACCACAUGGUGGCUCACGAUCACCUAUAAAAGGAGCUGAUGCCCUCUUCUGGCGUGCAGGUGUACAUGCAGACAGAGCACACAUACAUUAAGAAAAUAAAAAUAAAUAAAUAUCUA